rnacentral:rRNA from 1 species
GAUGAACGCUGGCGGCGUGCCUAAUACAUGCAAGUCGAGCGAAUGGAUUAAGAGCUUGCUCUUAUGAAGUUAGCGGCGGACGGGUGAGUAACACGUGGGUAACCUGCCCAUAAGACUGGGAUAACUCCGGGAAACCGGGGCUAAUACCGGAUAAUAUUUUGAACUGCAUGGUUCAAAAUUGAAAGGCGGCUUCGGCUGUCACUUAUGGAUGGACACGCCUCGCAUUAGCUAGUUGGUGAGGUAACGGCUCACCAAGGCAACGAUGCGUAGCCGACCUGAGAGGGUGAUCGGCCACACUGGGACUGAGACACGGCCCAGACUCCUACGGGAGGCAGCAGUAGGGAAUCUUCCGCAAUGGACGAAAGUCUGACGAAGCAACGCCGCGUGAGUGAUGAAGGCUUUCGGGUCGUAAAACUCUGUUGUUAGGGAAGAACAAGUGCUAGUUGAAUAAGCUGGCACCUUGACGGUACCUAACCAGAAAGCCACGGCUAACUACGUGCCAGCCGCCGCGGUAA